rnacentral:tRNA from 1 species
GUUAGGAUGGCAGAUUAGUGCAAUAGAUUUAAGCUCUAUAUAUAAAGGUGUGUUUCCUUUUCUUAAUA